rnacentral:rRNA from 1 species
UACAGAGGGUGCAAACGUUGUUCGGAAUUACUGGGCGUAAAGCGCGUGUAGGCGGCUUUGCAAGUCGGGUGUGAAAGCCCUCAGCUCAACUGAGGAAGUGCGCCCGAAACUGCAGAGCUUGAGUACCGGAGAGGAUGGUGGAAUUCCCCAAGUAGAGGUGAAAUUCGUAGAUAUUGGAAGGAACGCCGGUGGCGAAAGCGGCACACUGGGUCUUAUCUGACGCUGAGACACGAAAGCCAGGGGAGCGAACGGG